rnacentral:rRNA from 1 species
GUGGGGAAUUUUGGACAAUGGGCGCAAGCCUGAUCCAGCAAUGCCGCGUGCAGGAAGAAGGCCUUCGGGUUGUAAACUGCUUUUGUACGGAACGAAACGGUCCUGGCUAAUACCCGGGGCUAAUGACGGUACCGUAAGAAUAAGCACCGGCUAACUACGUGCCAGCAGCCGCGGUAAUACGUAGGGUGCGAGCGUUAAUCGGAAUUACUGGGCGUAAAGCGUGCGCAGGCGGUGCUGUAAGACAGGCGUGAAAUCCCCGGGCUCAACCUGGGAAUUGCGCUUGUGACUGCAGUGCUGGAGUGCGGCAGAGGGGGAUGGAAUUCCGCGUGUAGCAGUGAAAUGCGUAGAUAUGCGGAGGAACACCGAUGGCGAAGGCAAUCCCCUGGGCCUGCACUGACGCUCAUGCACGAAAGCGUGGGGAGCAAACAGGAUUAGAAACCCCGGUAGUCC